GAAGAGGAUGAGCAAGACAGACUGAGGGAGAGGAAGAACGACAGUAUAGCAGGAUUAGAAUCAAGGGACUGCUUCGCCAGCAGGGUGGUGUGAGGUGAAAAUAAGGGAAGGAGAAUUUCAUUUGCAUACCCAGCAUGUCACCCGGACCUUUCCGGAGAGCUGCGCCUAUCCACCGCCGAGCUUGGCAAAUUCAGAGCCUCAUUUGUUUUGGACUCCUCCAAAUAGCUUGGUUCUUCUGGGAUGUGUGUGAUCUCUGGAGAAGACCUAGAUACAAGAAACAAAGAACUCCUCUGCCUGAAGGAUCCAAGUCAAACCAAUCUGUUACAAGUAACAUUUCAUUAUCUCUUCAGAUACAAACCACAAGGUCCCGCAAAUAGAGGCCUAUUUUUCCGGCUCUGCUAAUAGAAUUGAAUUUCACAGAGUGUAACUUAAAUUAGACAUUCCAUAGCAGCCCUGAAUGGCAGAAAUAAUCGGCAUGGGUGACUAAUUUGGCAGAGCGUGUGCUAAGUACACAAAUCCCCUUUUUUCCACCCCUCGCCCGAGGUUUGCGAAGAGCGGCGCACAACCCACAGACAAAGGCAACACGCGGCUCAUAAAAAUUAACAUAGUAAAUGACCUGGAGAGGAAGGCACAAUAAAUAAUCUGAUCUUAUCACCUCUGAGUAUGCGUGGCAUGGAAUGGAGGCGUCCAAUGAAAAUAUCCUCGUUAAUCUUGCAUACCCUUGGAUAAACUUCUACACAGGAAGCCAUUUCUCUGCAUAGUCUCUGGGGGUCGACACAAGGUUGUCUACUUCUACAACUGAAAUCCUUUUAUUUAUUUUUUGAGGAGGAGGAAGUUGAGCAAAAACUGACCGUGGUUAAUUCAUUUAGCCAUUUGGCUUGGUUGCAACACUUGAUUUUGUCAGUGCAUUUAACAUGUACAAACUUUUUAAAGACUUCUGGCCAGUCUACAGCCCUUUAAAACAUGUGUUUUGGACGUUUUAUGACUUGCUGAACUAUGUUUUACAAGAACAUAGUCAGUCUUCUACUUCAAAAUUCAACGUGUUACAUGACAUUUCUUCAUAGUUAGUUGUAACAUUUACUAG
ensembl:lncRNA